CACUCCCCCCGCCCCGGGCCUCCGCGCUGCUCCCUGGAUCCGUCUCCGUCCUCCAUUCCUGCCCCGAGAGCCGCGGGCGGGCUCUUCACUGGUUCCUUCUCUUCCCGGGUGUCUCUAGAUUCGGUCUUAGCCUCCCAUUUCAAUCCAUGAAACAAAGGAGCGGCCGGGGACCCCUGGUUCCUGCCUGUAACAGCAGAGAUUUGGUGGGGGGGUCCUCGCCUUGUGUGGUUCCCCCCCCUCCCCCGGUUCUCUGCACAUCGUCUGUUAAACGGGGAAGGGGAACCACCACCUUAUGGAGGAGAGGGAGCGAACAGGAAGGGGAACGACGCUGAGGAAUGUGGUUUAGGGGGACGGGAGGGUCGUUUGCAAGCUGUGUGGCUACUGGAUCACGCUGGAAAGUAUUGGAAGGAGAGAAGGAUCCUGUGUGGCGUGUUUUAUGGGAGAGUUAAUGGACUCAUUUUGUGGGCCUGGAGCAAGGGAAGGGUGUUUGGUGUCGGGAUUUGGCUGUUCUGGAAACUGUUUGAACUUGAACGACUAACACCGGAAUGGCUGAGCUCCCUUCCCUGCUCUGGCAUGGGCCCCCGCGUUACCCCACCCCAAACUGAUCACAAAGUAAUAAUUAAAAAUUUCCCAGCGUGUGCGAAGGGAGCAAAUGCUUAUCCCGGUUGUCCUUGUAUUUUAAGGAAACUAACGUAAAGAUUCCUACGUGUGACUAGUUACUGAAAAGAAUUACGAAAUAAAUUCUCUUCUGCUGCCAAAUGUCCGCUGCUGCCUCCAGCCAGGGCGCCGUUUUCUCUGAUCCCCGCACCCAACUCCUGCUUGCAAAGGGUGCAGAGAGGCCGCUUAUUCAGAGCCACAUUCGUUCUCAGUUAACACUUUCCGUGAAAAUUAAUUUACAAAUCAGUGGUCUCAUUUUAAAAUGUCAAAUGUUUGAAACCUCACACGUUCUCUGCCUUUCCCCUUUUUGUAUCUGCUUUAUUGUAAUUUCCUUGUAUUUAGAGCUUUUUUUAGAUUCUUUGUAUGUGUGGGGUGCCCGUUUUUUUCAUUGUAAGUGCACAAACAGUAGUACUCAACUGAAUGUACAGCCAUUCAGCUUGGUGGGGAAAUAUGGAAAUCUGUUUAAUAUAAUUACAAUAGUUAGUUUUUAAUUGUAGAAAUGAAAACCAUUGAAAGAGUUUCAACUUGGAUUCUAGGGAGUUUUAACAUAAACUAUGGGAUUUUGAGAUUUUUAUUGGGAAGGAUUUCUGCCUGCAGUCAAAUCCUUAUUUGAAAGAAAACUUUAUCAAGUGAUUGACCCCAAAGGAGAAAACUGUUUCUAUAUAGUUGAUAUGACAAAACAUUCAAAGACGAUAUGUAAAAAUGAGACUGACCAUAUUGCAGCAGAAAAUAACAUACUUUGAAAAAUAUUACCUUUUUGAAGGAAAUGACCUGAGGUGAAAAACAAGAAUUGGUACAACUGGACUCUAGUAAACAGUAUUUAUUCGAAGAAGUUUUUAUUCAUGUGUUUUGGAGGAUUGCUUUUAUAAACCUUGAAUGGAUGAAGGUGGUCAUCAAAAGGAAAACCACUUAAAAUGUAUAAUUAUGGUCACUGUGAAAUAUUCUUCAGAAAGAUUUAAAAGCAAGAGAUGUAAAAUCAAGAAGAAAUUGGAUGAAGACACAUUUAAACAUAAAUGAACUUCACAGAGGCCUGGUGAUGGAUUUUAAAUUCCUGAAUAUAUGAUCUGCAUGGGGGGAGUCCUCCUAAGUUCGUUGGUCACAAGAACAAAAGAGAAACAUCGCUGGUGUCGAAAGGAUAUUGAAAUAGAGGAAUACAUGAGGUCACUGCAUCUUUUGAAGCAUGAUUUUUCACUUCGUCCAAUAGACAUAACUAUGGCAACUGCCUUAGCCAACUUGAACUCCUGGUGGUUGGUUUUGAACAGCAGACCAAAAAUGAGAAGUCCAACUUUGAAGAUUGACUGUAUCCAUUCAAAACUGCUGAAUAAGCUCAGUCUAAGUUUGAAAAGAUUCGUUCUGCGCUUGCUGGAUACUGAUGGAAUUGUUUUUCCUGGUUCAAACCAUGUUGAAGCCAGUAUUUACCAGCAUCCUGUCCUAAACUAAUUUUUCCUGGGAAAUUGCCAGCUCUGAAGGUGACAAUUUUAAAACCAAGCAGCCUGGAUCUAGAAUGUUUAUGACCCUUUUUAAAGUAAUGCAUUUUGUUGUUUUUUUUAAACAUAGUAUAACUGUCCACCGACUGGUUUAUUUUAAUCUAGAUAGUAGUCUUGAGGAUAACUUUAGUAUCAAAUAAUGAAGAAAAAAAGUACCUCUGCCAGUAUUUUAUCAAGCAUUGUUUUAAGCCUGUGUUUAAGAUUUCUCAGAAUAUAUCCAAAAAGCGGAUGCCUACAUUGUAGUUCAUUAACAAAGGAAAAGCCAGGUGAAAGAGCAAUGUAAUGUCCUGUGCAUGUACGUACAUCUUUUUAUUUUCAUUUUCCCCAUUGGGUAUAUGCCAACAUGACUAAAGUUUAAACUGUAAAACAAACCCCAGUUAUUAAUAAUGGAAUUAAAGGUAUCAGAACUGUCAGUCCUUUGAGGUUUGUUAACUUCCUAUAAGUUUACAGAGGUGAAAUAUUUCGUUUGCUGCUUAACGUUUGAAUGCAGGUAAACAGUCAGCUUUAAAAAAGCUAUCCAGAGACCUAGAAAACUUGACUUGUCAUAGCAUUUAAUGUGAAAUAUAAUUGUAGCUUUUGUCCAAAAAGCUAACUGAAAGAUGCAAUCUGUUCAGAACUAUUUCUCUGCGGUUUACAAUUGUUAGGGGUUUCCCAUGUGAGUGAUAGCUUCUCCAACAUGAUGCAGGGACCUAAUGUCUAAAUGGAUGUGGUGACUGCCUUAGAGUGAUGCUGCCAUUAGCAAUGAAAAAUGUCUGUCUUGCAAUUCUUGUGCAGCAGGCUGUGGAGUGCAGCACAUUUUUAUAAUAAAGGUGAUGAAUUUAAUCGCAAACUGGCAGCCAAAUGGAAAUUGCAGACCUUGAUACUGGGAGAAAAUUGCCUAUAAAGCAACUCCUGAGAGAGCAGGCUUUAAAUUUAUCCACCCAUUUCGACAUUGAGGAGAACAUAGGUAUUGGAGGAUAUUUUGCUUGGCCUGCUUAGUUCAGAUGGAUGACACUUCGGUCUUUUAUUUAAGAAGCAGUGAUACAGUUUGUUAAAAGAAUGACCUUGUUGUUUAAACUUUAUGUGUAAGACUUUUGGAAAAUAUAUUAACAUUUUGAAAUAUUUGCACUGCCUUUUGAAACUGAUAAGCACGAUGAUCUUAAAUCUCUGCAUUUUUGUCCUGUUUUCCAUUGUUUGUGGCUGGAGGCCCUGUUGCAAUUUGGGAGAAUGAAUGUGAAAAACAAACCUUGAAGGUUGCAGAGUAUUGCUGACCUAAGUUAUCCUAUAAAAUGAUUUAGCUAGUCUCUAGUCACAUUGGUGGAGAUGGGGAUACUAUCCUUUCUCUGGAAGAACUCAUGAUAGACAUUUCUUUUUUGAAGAUGUUACAAAUGUUUGUUUGCAGCUUAUUAAGUUAGAUUACAAUAAAAUAAAUAGUAUUAAUAGUACUACAUGUUGAUUUCUAUUAUGGUAGCACCUGGGAACCCCACUUAUUGAUAAGGUCCUCAUUGUUGUAAGCACUUUACAAAAAGUAAUGUGCAUUCCAGACUUGGGGUGUCUAUGCACUGUGCAUAGUUGCUGGAAAUUUUUCCUCAGUGGUACUUGUGGAGAUGGCUCCAGUGUCCUUUGCUGUCGUGCUCCCCGGCAUUAGUAUAGAGCAGUGGUUUGUAAAGUUUUUUGUAUUGGUGACCCCUUUUACAAAGCAAGCUUCUGAAUGUGACCCACCCCUUAUAAAUUAAAAAUGGGGAGU